AAAGGAAUUGACGGGGGCCCGCACAAGCGGAGGAACAUGUGGUUUAAUUCGAUGAUACGCGAGGAACCUUACCCGGGCUUGAAAUGCAUCUGACGGUUCCCGAAACGGGACUUCUCUUCGGAGCAGAUGUGUAGGUGCUGCAUGGUUGUCGUCAGCUCGUGCCGUGAGGUGUCGGCUUAAGUGCCAUAACGAGCGCAACCCUCAUCAUUAGUUGCUAACAGGUUAAGCUGAGGACUCUAAUGAGACUGCCACCGUAAGGUGUGAGGAAGGUGGGGAUGACGUCAAAUCAGCACGGCCCUUAUGUCCGGGGCGACACACGUGUUACAAUGGGGGGUACAACGGGCAGCUACCGGGCGACCGGAUGCCAAUCUCUAAAAACCUCUCUCAGUUCGGAUCGAAGUCUGCAACUCGACUUCGUGAAGCUGGAUUCGCUAGUAAUCGCGCAUCAGCCAUGGCGCGGUGAAUAAGUUCCCGGGCCUUGUACACACCGCCCGU
rnacentral:rRNA from 1 species